UCUCGGCAACGGAUAUCUCGGCUCUCGCAUCGAUGAAGAACGUAGCGAAAUGCGAUACCUGGUGUGAAUUGCAGAAUCCCGCGAACCAUCGAGUCUUUGAACGCAAGUUGCGCCCGANGCCAUUCGGCCGAGGGCACGCCUGCCUGGGCGUCACGCAAAACACGCUC
rnacentral:rRNA from 1 species